UCCUUGUCCUUGAGCCGCAGCCGCCUCUCAAUCUCUGCUAGGGUUUGGUACCACCGUAGGCACGCAAGUUCGAACCAGCUCUCUUCCUCUACCACCUUAAGUCGCUCCUUGAACUGCCGCUUUCCGCUGUUUAGGGUCGAGGUCUCGUGCUAGCCAUUUCCAGAUGCGAGAAACGCCCGUGGACAACAGGGAGGUGAUGGUUCCGCUAUAUAGUCUGCGUGGACUGGACCUUAUUUCUUAAUGGGCUUUUCUUUAGGGCUAUGGCCCAUGUAUUGCUUUAUGCUUUAUUACUCUACUUUCAUCUAUUAGACCUUUCAACUGUUUUUUGUUGGCAUCGUGGUGUGCCUAGUUUUGUAGGAGUGGUGUUAAGGACCCCAGGACU